CACUGUACAGCAAGGGGGUCAGGUUAUCCUUACAUGUAUACAUUACAAUUACAUUUUUCCCCCACCCUUUCUUCUGUUGCAACAUGAGUAUCUAGACAAAGUUCUCAAUGCUAUUCAGCAGGAUCUCCUUGUAAAUCUAUUCUAAGUUGUGUCUGAUAAGCCCAAGCUCCCGAUCCCUCCCACUCCCUCCCCCUCCCAUCAGGCAGCCACAAGUCUCUUCUCCAAGUCCAUGAUUUUCUUUUCUAAGGAGAUGUUCAUUUGUGCUGGAUUUUUACUGUAGUUGAUCUGUAAUGUUCUGUCAGUUUCUGCUGUACAGCAAAGUGACCCAAUUAUUCAUAUAUAUAUGUGUGUGUGUGUGUGUGUGUGUGUGUGUAUGCAUUCUUUUUCUCAUAUUAUCUUCUAUCAUGUUCUAACACAAGUGAUUGGAUAUAGUUCCCUGUGCUGUAUUUUUUAACAUUUGAGUAUAGUUGAUUUACAGAGUUGUGUCAAUGUCUGCUGUAUAACAUUGUGACCCAGCCACACAAAUAUAUACAUUUCCUAUCUAGGACAGUAAAACUUGGAGGAUCUGACUUAAAAAACAAACAAAGAGAGAAAAAAAAAAAAAAGGAAGAGUCUUGAAUGCUGUUAACAUUUAAUUAAUUAAUUAAAAUUUACCUUCAGCCCCAUCCGUCUAAAAUAAACCCCUGACUGUGGUCAGCGGUUACAUGCAGACUUUGUCAUUUUGCUUACUGACCACACAUUUUCAUUGAUCAAUUCUAAAUUGGAUUAUUGUUAGUUUUAAAAGCGCCUGAGCAGCAGAAAGUGGCUGUGGUGGCAGGCAAAGGGGAGAUUGAUAGCAGAAUAAACAGGGAAAGUGACAAGAUUCCAGGCUGAAUUGAUCACUGUCAGCGGGUCCGUGGUCAGCUGUCUGCCCUUUAGUGCCCAAAGUAAACAUGAGAAUAAUGUUUAGACAAACACAUUUGAUUUUUGAGGUAAUGGGUAUGUCAACUAAAUGACAAACCUUAGAAAGGUCAAAGGGAUAUCCAUUUUUCAGACUCUUUCAACCAUUAAUCGUUGAUUUUGGUAACAGUGCACUUGCAGAUGGAGCAGAGAGAGAACACCGGAUUGCAUGUUUGCUGUGUGAUGCUCCAGACAGACCUCCUCAGGAUUCACCUGUCCAUCAGCAUUUUCUCAAAAAUAAAAUUUUGUUGUAAGCAGAGUUCUUCCUUUAAAAAAGGUACUCAGAAUUUCAAUUAUCUAAAGACCAUCAGAAAUGCAACAAGCUUAUUAAUCCUUGGAAGGGGCUCAGUCCAUUAGCAUCCACUACAAUCUUGUUUAUGUUGCCUGUUAUCUCUAAUAAAACAAAUCAGAGCAGAGCCAUCCCUAAUCAUCCAUUAGCCUCUGAGAAAUUUAUAAUGUUAUUCUAAACACAGGAUAUCAUUGUUGAAUCAAUAGUACCUGAAAUUACAGUUUGGUACAAUUCGCCAUUUGCUGGCCCAUUUUUAAUGCAAUUUUUGUUCCUCUUUAAAAUAUCACACAUUCACAAUGACUUACGAGGCCAAUCAGCAUUGAUGGUGACUAUUCCAAGAGUCCCACAUUCACCUGGCUUAUCUGAUCACACAAGGCAUUUUUCUUUUGCAUGCAGGGAUGUGACAGAUGAAACCAGACUGUAGUGGAAUGUGGUAUAGGAUUAUCCCUGCCUCCAGAAAAAUUUGAGCAAGAUUCUGCUUCUCACAGAAGAACAUCAUGUUUUGCUGGUAGUUGCUACUUGCAUGUCGUAAUCUCUCAAUCUAUUGAUGUCCUUGACAAAAUAUUAGGACCCUCUAAACUCAUCAAGCACAUGCAUGUACAGAGGAAGUCAGAGAAAUGUGAAGUAUGUAUUUGGGUCCUACCUGUAACACUCAUGCCAUGGCAUAGGCUGCAUAUCACUCAGAUAAAAGAGUAUAAUGAGAGGGAAGCAUAACCCACAUGGGCCUCUAUUUCCUUUGUUAUGUAAAAUUCCAGCAAACUCACUGUGCAGGUUGGGUACUUAGGAAAUAAUUCUUUGAAUACACCUGCCCUAUGGAAAUGUCUUAGCUUUGGUGCCAUAAUGAAAUGCCUAGAAUGAGUAGCUUGAACAACAAAAAUUUAUUUUCUCUCAGCUGUCUGGUCUAGAAGUCCAAGAUCAAAGAGGCAGCAUGGUCAGUUUCUAGUGGGAGCUCUCUUCCUGACUUGAAGACAGCUGCCCUCUAGCUUUGUCCUCACAGACAGGGAGGGAGAGAGAGAGAGAAAGCUCUCUGGAGUCUCUCUUUAUUAAGGGCACUAAUCCCAUCAUAAAGGCCCCAUUCUCAUGACCUCAUCUAAACCUAAUGACCUUCCAGAGGCCCCCACCUUCAAGUACAAUCACAGUGGAGGUCAAGGCUUCAACACAGGAAUGUGGGGAGCACACCAUUAGUCCAUAGCAGGAGGCAUGAGGUUAUCAGCUUUUUAGAGGUAGAUGUAACUGAUGUCCACACAUUUCUAGCUCUUGUCCAAGUCUAACAAAAUCUUCGUUACACUUCUCCACGCCCUUGAAAUUAACCUUGGCCAUGUGACUAGUCAUGGCUAGUGAAGCAUGUCACUUCCAGGCCAAAGCAUAUCACUGUUGUUGUUCAGCUCUCCUGCCAUCUCUUACUCUAUCAAGGUCAGCCCUGAGCUCCUUGUGAUAGUGUCAUAGGUGGUAUUCUAGUUACUAUUACUGCAGAAAAACUGAGUAGCUUAACACAAGCAUUGGCUUAUACUCAGGGAUGCUGUGGGUCAAGAAUUUUAACAAGGUAACGAAAGGAUGAAUUGUCCAGCUCCAUCAUGUCUAAAGCUAGGAAGACUCAAUGGCUGAGGUCUAGAAUCAUCUAAAGGAUUCAUAUAUCUGGUGCUGAGAGCAAGAUGAUUCAAAGGCUAAGACUACCACCUAGAGUGCCCACAGUAUGGCAAAAUUAAGGCAGUCAGAUUUCAUACUCGGAUCCCAGGGGCUCCAGCAAAAAAGGCAAAAACUAUGUGGACAUUUGGGAGUCAGCUUGGAAGUCACACAAAUCACAUUGGCCCUAUGCUCUUUCAAGUUAAAGUAGCAACGAGCUGACCCAGAUUCAAGGAGGAGGGACAUGGAUAUCAUCUCUUUAUCAGAGGGGUGUCAAAGAAUGUAUGUGCUCGGGUGGAGUUGGUGGGGAGGGGACUUUGUAAAAUUACCAUUUAAGGUGUGGAGUGACCUUUUGGAGCAGAGCUCCGCUGCCUUUCCACAAAACGAUGUAGAAUAGUAAUAAACUCUCCUAUGUUAACCCACUGUGGUUUUCGUGGCAUCUGUUCAUGCCCAGGCCAAAUAGAAUAUCUCCUUAAGACUUCAAAGUGUCAAUGAGCAUCCUCCAUAAAUAUCAAAUUGACCAGAAUAGAAAAGACUUCUACUUUAGAGAAGUAUACCUCCAGUACUCAACUCACGCUUCUAAAGCCAUCUUUUUAUUUAUUUGUCUAUUUAUUUAUUUGCUCUCUAGGGCUGCACCUUUGGCAUAUGGAUGUUCCCAGGCUGAGGGUCCAUUAGGAGCUAUAGCUGCCGUCCUACGCCACAGCUUACGGCAAUGCCAGAUUCUUAACCCACUGAACAAGACCAGAGAUUGAACACACAACCUCAUGGUUUCCAGUUGGAAUUGUUUCUGCUGCUCCAUGAUGGGAACUCCUCAAAAACAAUCUUUAAACCAGAGUUAAUAGAAUACCCAUGACAUGUGCUCCAACUGCUUGCUAAGGGGUCAUGUCAAACAGCACUGGUCAGUCUCAGCACUAACCAUUGAGCUAUCCUCUCCUGAGUCCCAAAAUUUCUUUCCAUAAGAUUAAUUCUAGUAUAAUUCCUCUCCAAACCUAUGUUAUAGUCCUAUCUGUGUGUUUUUAAAUUCCUGCCUUAGGUCAACGUUGGUGCAGAGGAGAUAAUAUGGUGCUAAGUUUUACUCUUUGACCAGUUUUCAAACAAAUACAUCGAAGUAUAAUUCUAUAUCUAAGGCUGAACCAAAAGCUGGAUGUGGGGGAGAAGGGAACUUACAGAAGACUUGCUGGCAAAGACUGAGAUCGGAAGUAGAUUUUAUCUCCCUGGGGAGUCAAGACAUGCACACAAAACUGUAAUUAGUAAUCUGAUAAGGUAUCAUAAGGACCUGAAAGCAAAGCACAGGAAAGUACAUUAUCAGAGUCGUGGGAAAGGAGAUGAGACUUGGUUAAAGUAGAAGGAGAUGGCUUUAGAGAGGGAACUGGAUUCAGCUUGUCUUUGAAGGGAAGGCAGAUCACACUGUAAUGGGAGGAGCAAAGAAUGCACAGAAUGUGUAGAGCCAAGAACACAGGGGAGGAGCUAGUGCAAGAAAGAUACUGAACAGGUUAGACCACAUAGAGUAUCCUCAAAAAGCAUCAAAUUAUCAAAGUUAGAUCUGAAGUCAUUGUGAUCCAAUGGAGAUCAGCCCACUUCCUGUGGGCUUCAGAACAGACAGAAAACUAGGUUCCUCUUCUCUUAUUCUAUGACCUGGAGAAGCUUGAAAGAAUCAAGGAAAGUCAGGAGCCGGGAAGCGGUCCUGGGCACAAAUCCAACUCUGCUUCUCACUCACUCAAGGAUAAGGACUUAACUCAUCUGAAACCCCCUUCCACAUUUUGCCACAUGAGUAUGAAGUUCGAAUUAGCAUGACUUUGAGAAUUAAUUUGGCAGUGUGUGGGGGGUUGUCACACUGCUGUGGUUACACGACAGAUGCUCAAACAAAGGUGAGUAUCAUCAUCUUCACUACCACCUCGUUACCACUUUGCCAUUGUCUUUACCGUCUUUGCACUGAUGACAUGAAAAUUCCCAAGGAUAAAUCCCAAGUUAUGCUUUGGAAAGAA
rnacentral:lncRNA from 1 species